UACGUAGGGUGCGAGCGUUGCCCGGAUUUAUUGGGCGUAAAGGGCGCGUAGGCGGCUACGCACGUCCGUUGUGAAAUCGCUCGGCUCAACUGGGCGGGGUCAGCGGAUACGGUGUAGCUGGAGCAAGCUAGGGGGCAAUGGAAUUCCCGGUGUAGUGGUGGAAUGCGUAGAUAUCGGAAGGAACACCAGUGGCGAAGGCGACUACCUGGCCUGUUUCUUGACGCUGAGGCGCGAAAGCUAGGGGAGCAAACGGGG
rnacentral:rRNA from 1 species